AUGGUAACAGAUGGAGCCAAGGAGCUAGUCAGGCUCCGACGGUGGCGGGGGGAGGGGCGGCACCACCGGAGAGCCAAGGUCCUAAACCCCGAAAUAGGUGCGGCCUUGUUCGUGUUUUACACAUCAUGGCCGAGGACAUCGGCUGAUAAAAAAUUGUCAGCAGCAGCACUAUUUCUCUUCUCCAUUGGGGGCCUACGAUAUGUGCUAAAGGUCCAGUCUCUCAGGAGCGCCAGCUUUGGUACCAUGUCCAACAGCUCUAAUAAAGCAAAGAAGAGUCCAGAUAAAGAUAGGGAAGAAGAUACCAGGGAAUACAUUAAACGUGCAAAUGAAAUUGUCAUGAACAGUCGUGUCAAAACAGUAAGCCAGAAAGUUCGAGACAAGCACCAACUUAAACUUAGCGAAGUGGUCGACAAGCUAUUUGUUGACGUCUAUGUAUAUCCCUAUUCUGAGCGCCUUGCUCGCCUCAAAUGUUUUUGGGAACUUAAGGAGGAAGAGGCUUAUAAGCUCUGGCCUGAAACAGUUGCACAACACAGCAUCAUAGGAGACUUGGCCAUGAACAAAAAGGGUACCAGCACCAUCAGGAGAUGCAUGGAGUAUCUUUACAAGUACUGCUUCUUGGACUAUUGCCGCUCGUCAAAGGAUAUUAUAGGGUUGGUCCGGGAACACAUCAAAGCUGGGUGA
rnacentral:rRNA from 1 species